GGACUACGGGGGUAUCUAAUCCGGUUCGCGCCCCUAGCUUUCGUCCCUCACCGUCAGGUUCGUUCCAGUUAGCCGCCUUCGCCACAGGUGGUCCUCCCAGGAUUACAGGAUUUCACCUCUACCCUGGGAGUACCGCUAACCUCUCCCGACCUCAAGUUCAACAGUAUCACCAGCAAUUCCCACAGUUAAGCUACAGGAUUUCACCAGUGACUUAUCAAACCGGCUACGAACGCUUUAGGCCCAAUAAAAACAGCUACCACUAGAGCUGCCGGUGUUACCGCGGCGGCUGGCACCGGUCUUGCCCAGCUCUUAUUCCAAAAGCUUUUUACACUUAAGAAAAGCCAUCCCGUUAAGAAUGGCACUUGGGAUCCCCCCGUCGCGAUUUCUCACAUUGCGGAGGUUUCGCGCCUGCUGCACCCCAUAGG
rnacentral:rRNA from 1 species